rnacentral:rRNA from 1 species
UUAAGCGACUAAGCGUACACGGUGGAUGCCCUGGCAGUCAGAGGCGAUGAAGGACGUGCUAAUCUGCGAUAAGCGUCGGUAAGGUGAUAUGAACCGUUAUAACCGGCGAUUUCCGAAUGGGGAAACCCAGUGUGUUUCGACACACUAUCAUUAACUGAAUCCAUAGGUUAAUGAGGCGAACCGGGGGAACUGAAACAUCUAAGUACCCCGAGGAAAAGAAAUCAACCGAGAUUCCCCCAGUAGCGGCGAGCGAACGGGGAGCAGCCCAGAGCCUGAAUCAGUGUGUGUGUUAGUGGAAGCGUCUGGAAAGGCGCGCGAUACAGGGUGACAGCCCCGUACACAAAAAUGCACAUGCUGUGAGCUCGAUGAGUAGGGCGGGACACGUGGUAUCCUGUCUGAAUAUGGGGGGACCAUCCUCCAAGGCUAAAUACUCCUGACUGACCGAUAGUGAACCAGUACCGUGAGGGAAAGGCGAAAAGAACCCCGGCGAGGGGAGUGAAAAAGAACCUGAAACCGUGUACGUACAAGCAGUGGGAGCACGCUUAGGCGUGUGACUGCGUACCUUUUGUAUAAUGGGUCAGCGACUUAUAUUCUGUAGCAAGGUUAACCGAAUAGGGGAGCCGAAGGGAAACCGAGUCUUAACUGGGCGUUAAGUUGCAGGGUAUAGACCCGAAACCCGGUGAUCUAGCCAUGGGCAGGUUGAAGGUUGGGUAACACUAACUGGAGGACCGAACCGACUAAUGUUGAAAAAUUAGCGGAUGACUUGUGGCUGGGGGUGAAAGGCCAAUCAAACCGGGAGAUAGCUGGUUCUCCCCGAAAGCUAUUUAGGUAGCGCCUCGUGAAUUCAUCUCCGGGGGUAGAGCACUGUUUCGGCAAGGGGGUCAUCCCGACUUACCAACCCGAUGCAAACUGCGAAUACCGGAGAAUGUUAUCACGGGAGACACACGGCGGGUGCUAACGUCCGUCGUGAAGAGGGAAACAACCCAGACCGCCGGCUAAGGUCCCAAAGUCAUGGUUAAGUGGGAAACGAUGUGGGAAGGCCCAGACAGCCAGGAUGUUGGCUUAGAAGCAGCCAUCAUUUAAAGAAAGCGUAAUAGCUCACUGGUCGAGUCGGCCGGCGCGGAAGAUGUAACGGGGCUAAACCAUGCACCGAAGCUGCGGCAGCGACGCUUAUGCGUUGUUGGGUAGGGGAGCGUUCUGUAAGCCUGCGAAGGUGUGCUGUGAGGCAUGCUGGAGGUAUCAGAAGUGAGAAUGCUGACAUGAGUAGCGAAAAGAAGUGUGAGAGACACUUCCGCUGAAAGUCCAAGGUUUCCUGCGUAAAGCUAAUCUGCGCAGGGUUAGUCGGCCCCUAAGGCGAGGCAGAGAUGCGUAGUCGAUGGGAAUCAGGUUAAUAUUCCUGAACCAACUAGGAAGUGACGGAUUCAGUAAAUUGUAUGUCCUUAUUGGAUUGGAUGUGCAGUGAAUGAGUCCCGGGAAAUAGCCCUAGUAUAGACCGUACCCGAAACCGACACAGGUGGACAGGUAGAGAAUACCAAAGCGCUUGAGAGAACUAUGUUGAAGGAACUAGGCAAAAUACUUGCGUAACUUCGGGAUAAGCAAGCCCCAUUUCUGGGCAACCAGAGGUGGGGGGCACAUACUAGGGGGUAGCGACUGUUUACUAAAAACACAGGGCUCUGCUAAAUUGAAAGAUGAAGUAUAGGGUCUGACGCCUGCCCGGUGCUGGAAGGUUAAGGAGAGAUGUGCAAGCAUUGAACUGAAGCCCCAGUAAACGGCGGCCGUAACUAUAACGGUCCUAAGGUAGCGAAAUUCCUUGUCGGGUAAGUUCCGACCUGCACGAAUGGCGUAACGACUUCCCCGCUGUCUCCAACAUAGACUCAGCGAAAUUGAAUUCUGAGUUAAGAUGCUCAGUACCCGCGGUUAGACGGAGAGACCCCGUGAACCUUUACUAUAGCUUUGCAGUGGUAUUAGGUGACAAAUGUGUAGGAUAGGUGGGAUGCUAUGAAGUUAUGACGCUAGUUGUAAUGGAGCAGACGUUGAAAUACCACCCUUUUGUUAUUUGAUAUCUAACCUGCUUCCGUUAUCCGGAAGAGGGACCCUGCAUGGUGGGUAGUUUGACUGGGGCGGUCGCCUCCCAAAGAGUAACGGAGGCGCGCAAAGGUUGGCUCAGAUUGGUCGGAAAUCAAUCGUUGAGUGCAAUGGCAUAAGCCAGCCUGACUGCGAGAGCGACAGUUCGAGCAGAGACGAAAGUCGGUCAUAGUGAUCCGGUGGUCCCGAGUGGAAGGGCCAUCGCUCAACGGAUAAAAGGUACUCCGGGGAUAACAGGCUGAUUCCGCCCAAGAGUUCACAUCGACGGCGGAGUUUGGCACCUCGAUGUCGGCUCAUCACAUCCUGGGGCUGGAGAAGGUCCCAAGGGUUCGGCUGUUCGCCGAUUAAAGUGGUACGCGAGCUGGGUUUAGAACGUCGUGAGACAGUUCGGUCCCUAUCUGCCGUGGGUGUAGGAUACUUGAAAGGAUUUGUCCUUAGUACGAGAGGACCGGGAUGAACAUACCUCUGGUGUACCAGUUGUUUCGCCAGAAGCAACGCUGGGUAGCUAAGUAUGGAAGGGAUAACCGCUGAAUGCAUCUAAGCGGGAAACCCACCUUGAAACUAGGUAUCCCAAUUAAGACCGUGGUAGACCACCACGUUGAUAGGUUGGGUGUGUAAGCACAGCAAUGUGUUUAGCUAACCAAUACUAAUAGUCUGAUUGGCUUGAUUUA